UUAUAAUUUUUUUUCUUGGUUCGGGUGAAAGCCGGGGGGGUGGUUUAACCCUGCAAAUUGAAAGAAGAAAGUCCAGCUUGCUGGGGUGGAUUAGUGGGGAACGGGGGAUUACCACGGGAUUACCUUGCCCUAGAUUUUGGGUUAACCCUGGGAAACGGGUUUUAUUCCCGAUUAGGGGCUUUCCCCCCAUGGUGGGUGUGGGAAGGAAUUUCGGUUUUGGAUGGACUCGCGGCCCAUCAGCUUGUUGGUGAGGUAAUGGCUCACCAAGGCGACGACGGGUAGCCGGCCUGAGAGGGUGACCGGCCACACUGGGACUGAGACACGGCCCAGACUCCUACGGGAGGCAGCAGUGGGGAAUAUUGCACAAUGGGCGCAAGCCUGAUGCAGCGACGCCGCGUGAGGGAUGACGGCCUUCGGGUUGUAAACCUCUUUCAGUAGGGAAGGAAGCGAAAGUGACGGUACCUGCAGAAGAAGCACCGGCUAACUACGGCAGACGUUCCGC
rnacentral:rRNA from 1 species